AUUGAACGCUGGCGGCAGGCCUAACACAUGCAAGUCGAGCGGAGCGGGGGACGGGUGGGUAAUGCCUGGGAAUCUGCCUGUUAGUGGGGGAUCACGUCCGGGAACGGGCGCUAAUACCGCAUACUAUCAGAUGAGCCUAGGGUGGAUUAGCUAGUUGGUGAGGUAAAGCCCUACCAAGGUGACGAUCCGUAACUGGUCUGAGAGGAUGAUCAGUCACACUGGAACUGAGACACGGUCCAGACUCCUACGGGAGGCAGCAGUGGGGAAUAUUGGGCAACGGGCGAAAGCCUGAUCCAGCCAUGCCGCGUGAGUGAAGAAGGUUUUCGGAUUGUAAAGCACUUUAAGUAGGGAAGCGUUACCUACAGAAUAAGCACCGGCUAACUUCGUGCCAGCCGCCGCGGUAAUAC
rnacentral:rRNA from 1 species